CCUCCCUCCGGAGCUUUGAUCACACAACAGUUUUGUAACCAUGUUCUCUCAGAAAGUUCCAUAGUCCACCCGUCUGGAACAAAAUAAAGUGAUUUCCAGAAAGGAUAUGGGUCAGUGACAAUGUGGGAAGAAACAAGAAAAAUCAAUAACCUACAUUUUAAUGUGAAAUGACAACAUGUUCAACUUUGACUACAGACUUCCCAGGCAUGGUUCAGGAGAGAAUGCGAGAACAUAAUUUUAGAACCAGAAGGAACCUUAGAGAUGAUGAGAACUUAACACCUGGAUUUCACAGGCUGUGAAGCAAAACGGAACAGCUGGGCACGCACAGGGAGGAUGUCUGUACCGCUGUUGUUCUAGGUUUGUCAGCCGGGGCGGGAAUCAAGGAAUCCAGGGGCUAACUUGUCCUGCUCCAAGAAGCAAAAGAGCCCACGCCAUUGCUGACUGUGGCGCUGUGAAUUUUGUUAUCUUCACUCCUUUCCAGAAUGGACGUUUUCUUUGAGAGUGGCCUCAAUAAAUCAUAGUGAAGCUAA